rnacentral:lncRNA from 1 species
GGGUAGUGUGUGUGUGUUACCUGUAAGGACUAGAUGUAGGGGUAGUGUGUGUGUGUUACCUGUAAGGGCUAGAUGUAGGGGUAGUGUGUGUGUGUUACCUGUAAGGGCUAGGUGUAGGGGUAGUGUGUGUGUGUUACCUGUAAGGACUAGGUGUAGGGGUAGUGUGUGUGUGUUACCUGUAAGGACUAGGUGUAGGGGUAGUGUGUGUGUGUUACCUGUAAGGACUAGAUGUAGGGGUAGUGUGUGUGUGUUACCUGUAAGGACUAGAUGUAGGGGUAGUGUGUGUG